CUACAUGUUAAUACUGUUACUUGGUAGGACCAUUAUCUUUCCCUUGCAUGUAGAUGAAGAUGGAUCUUCAAAGGUGAAUAAGAAAGAGGGGAUACAAGUCAGAUUUUUGUCCAAGCAAAGAUUUAUUCUGGAAUGCAUGCUCCAUCAUAAAGAGAACUAUAAAUAUUUUUGUACUUGUUUUCUUUUUCAUUUAUUUUUUCAUUAGGGUAAUGCACACUUCAUUUCCAAUUUGGCAUAAAUUAUGACUUUAUCCAAUGUUUAUAGUGUGUCCUUUCUAGAGAAGAAUCAUAAGACAUGACUCAUCAAAUGUAGGUGGAAUCUCAGCGAGCUAGAGCAAGUAGAAAAUGAUUGUAGUCUUGCAUUGCUAUUAAGCACAAUAGUGAAGUUCUCAAGUAACAGAGGAAGGGCGGC
rnacentral:lncRNA from 1 species